rnacentral:rRNA from 1 species
AUUGAACGCUAGCGGGAUGCUUUACACAUGCAAGUCGAACGAGUGGCGGACGGGUGAGUAAUAUAUCGGAACGUGCACAGUAGCGGGGGAUAACUACUCGAAAGAGGGGCUAAUACCGCAUACUCUUGGAGCGGCCGUUAUCGGAUUAGCUAGUUGGUGGGGUAUAGGCUCACCAAGGCAACGCUCCGUAGCGGGUUUGAGAGGACGACCAGCCACACUGGGACGGGGACACGGCCCAGAUCCCUACGGGAGGCAGCAGUGGGGAAUUUUGGACAAUGGGGGAAACCCUAAUCCAGCCAUCCCGCGUGUAUGAGAAGGCCUUCGGGUUUUAAAGUACUUUUGGCAGAGAAGCGGUAUCUGCAGAAUAAGCACCGGCUAACUACGUGCCAGCAGCCGCGGUAAUAC